rnacentral:rRNA from 1 species
UUAGAGUUUGAUCCUGGCUCAGGACGAACGCUGGCGGCGUGCCUAACACAUGCAAGUUGAGCGACGAACCAGGGCUUGCCCUGGGGCAAAGCAGCGAACGGGUGAGUAACACGUGGAUAACCUGCCCCGAAUACUGGGACAACCCGAGGAAACUCGGGCUAAUACCAGAUGUGCUUACCAAGCUUAAGCCUGGUAAGGAAAGGAAGUUUCGGCCUCCGAUUCGGGAGGGGUCCGCGGCCCAUUAGCUAGUUGGUGAGGUAACGGCUCACCAAGGCUUCGAUGGGUAGCUGGUCUGAGAGGACGAUCAGCCACACUGGGACUGAGACACGGCCCAGACUCCUACGGGAGGCAGCAGUGGGGAAUCUUGCGCAAUGCGCGAAAGCGUGACGCAGCAACGCCGCGUGGGGGAAGAAGGCCUUCGGGUUGUAAACCACUGUUGCCCGGGACGAACAUGGUCUUUCGAGACCACUGACGGUACCGGGUGAGGAAGCACCGGCUAACUCCGUGCCAGCAGCCGCGGUAAUAUCGCCC